rnacentral:rRNA from 1 species
UACGAAGGGGGCUAGCGUUGUUCGGAAUCACUGGGCGUAAAGGGCGCGUAGGCGGCUUGAUAGGUCGGGGGUGAAAGCCUGUGGCUCAACCACAGAAUUGCCUUCGAUACUGUCUGGCUUGAGACCGGAAGAGGUAAGUGGAACUGCGAGUGUAGAGGUGAAAUUCGUAGAUAUUCGCAAGAACACCAGUGGCGAAGGCGGCUUACUGGUCCGGUUCUGACGCUGAGGCGCGAAAGCGUGGGGAGCAAACAGG